rnacentral:rRNA from 1 species
ACUGACGGCCAUAUCUCACCAAACGCACCGGAUCUCUUUCGACCUCCGAAGUUAAGCGGUGGAGAGUCCGCCUAGUACUGGUACCAGAAUCUGAGUGGGGCCCUUAGCC